rnacentral:rRNA from 1 species
AGAGUUUGAUCCUGGCUCAGAUUGAACGCUGGCGGCAUGCCUUACACAUGCAAGUCGAACGGCAGCACGGGAGCUUGCUCCUGGUGGCGAGUGGCGAACGGGUGAGUAAUACAUCGGAACGUACCCUGAAGUGGGGGAUAACGUAGCGAAAGUUACGCUAAUACCGCAUGUUCUGUGAGCAGGAAAGAGGGGGAUCGCAAGACCUCUUGCUUUAGGAGCGGCCGAUGUCGGAUUAGCUAGUUGGUGAGGUAAAGGCUCACCAAGGCGACGAUCCGUAGCGGGUCUGAGAGGAUGAUCCGCCACACUGGGACUGAGACACGGCCCAGACUCCUACGGGAGGCAGCAGUGGGGAAUUUUGGACAAUGGGCGCAAGCCUGAUCCAGCCAUGCCGCGUGAGUGAAGAAGGCCUUCGGGUUGUAAAGCUCUUUCGGCGGGGAAGAAAUUGCACGGGUUAAUACCCUGUGUAGAUGACGGUACCCGAAUAAGAAGCACCGGCUAACUACGUG